rnacentral:rRNA from 1 species
UGCCAGCCGCCGCGGUAAUACGGAGGGUGCAAGCGUUGUUCGGAAUUAUUGGGCGUAAAGCGCAUGUAGGCGGGAAAAUAAGUCAGUGGUGAAAGCCUGCAGCUCAACUGCAGAACUGCCAUUGAAACUGUUUUUCUUGAAUAUAGAUGAAGUGGGCGGAAUAUAUCAUGUAGCGGUGAAAUGCAUAGAUAUGAUAUAGAACACCGAUUGCGAAGGCAGCUCACUAAACUAUUAUUGACGCUGAGGGACGAAAGCGUGGGGAGCGAACAGGAUUAGAUA